rnacentral:rRNA from 1 species
UACGUAGGGCGCAAGCGUUGUCCGGAAUUAUUGGGCGUAAAGGGCUCGUAGGCGGUUUGUCGCGUCGGGAGUGAAAUCCACUGGCUUAACUGGUGGCUUGCUUUCGAUACGGGCAGACUGGAGGUAUGCAGGGGAGAACGGAAUUCCUGGUGUAGCGGUGAAAUGCGUAGAUAUCGGGAGGAACACCAGUGGCGAAGGCGGCUCACUGGCCCGGUACUGACGCUGAGGUGCGAAAGCGUGGGGAGCAAACAGG